rnacentral:lncRNA from 1 species
CUGAGAUGUAAGAGUUUGCAUUAUGAAAGGAUGAGAAGCAGUGCCUGAGCUCAUGCUAAGCUCCUCCACAAGAGGACUGUCAAAUUAUUUUUGAGAGAGAUCCAGGAGGAAACCUUCAGUGCUGGGCAGAAGGAAGCCUGUGGGGAGAGGCAGAACCAGCUUUGCAUGGGAACAACUCAUCCAAGGAGAGGAUCCAAAGGAGCAGGGAAUGCUGGUUUUAAUCUGCUUCCAUGGGCUGAAAUGACUCCUGUGUUCAAGCUGGCAUUACCGACAGGGAUACAACUGCAGUUUGGGUAUCAGCUCUCUGGGACCUGCAACCUGCCUGGCAAGGAAACAUCAUCAGCCCUCUUAUCUGCUCCUUGCCUGAAUUCUGCCUGGAUUUCUGACUGGUGAGGCUUAUUGGAAGCAGCAUCCCUGUGAGCAGGAGAGCAGCUGCUCU